rnacentral:rRNA from 1 species
CGGGACGGGUGAGUAAUGUCUGGGAAACUGCCUGAUGGAGGGGGAGAACUACUGGAAACGGUAGCUAAUACCGCAUAACGUCGCAAGACCAAAGAGGGGGACCUUCGGGCCUCUUGCCAUCGGAUGUGCCCAGAUGGGAUUAGCUAGUAGGUGGGGUAACGGCUCACCUAGGCGACGAUCCCUAGCUGGUCUGAGAGGAUGACCAGCCACACUGGAACUGAGACACGGUCCAG